GACGAACGCUGGCGGCGUGCUUAACACAUGCAAGUCGAACGGAAAGGCCCUGCUUUUGUGGGGUGCUCGAGUGGCGAACGGGUGAGUAACACGUGAGUAACCUGCCCUUGACUUUGGGAUAACUUCAGGAAACUGGGGCUAAUACCGGAUAGGAGCUCCUGCUGCAUGGUGGGGGUUGGAAAGUUUCGGCGGUUGGGGAUGGACUCGCGGCUUAUCAGCUUGUUGGCGGGGUAGUGGCUUACCAAGGCUUUGACGGGUAGCCGGCCUGAGAGGGUGACCGGCCACAUUGGGAAUGAGAUACGGCCCAGACUCCUACGGGAGGCAGCAGUGGGGAAUAUUGCACAAUGGGCGGAAGCCUGAUGCAGCAACGCCGCGUGCGGGAUGACGGCCUUCGGGUUGUAAACCGCUUUCGCCUGUGACGAAGCGUGAGUGAAGGUAAUGGGUAAAGAAGCACCGGCUAACUACGCG
rnacentral:rRNA from 1 species